rnacentral:lncRNA from 1 species
CGUAGUUUCUUUUAUUUUCUCUCGUUGAUAGAUUAUUCAUGUAUAGUCAUAGUUCCGGAUAAGAACCAACGAAGAUAUCACAACAACUGUUUUUGGAGACAAGGCCAAACCAUUUUUCCAACAAUAAUAAAGUAUAUGCCACAUUCAUGAUCUCUAGUUGCUUCUUCACGAACUCUUAACAGAGAUGCACAUUGAGUAAUUCGAUGGAAAAAGAUAUGUAUUCCAGACGGUAGCUCACAUGUCGUGCGUAUCUUCGUGGCUCCACUUCGGUGAGGGUCACAUGCCACUUCUAUGUUUCUGAAAACAAACAAAGAGAUGAAAAGCUGAAAGUAAAAGAAACAAAAAAAAAGAGGGGUGACUCAGGAGAUGAACGUGGACGAUAUUGGCUAGAAUCUGGUCAAUAAUCCAGGCUACAUUCGAGCCACGUUUCU